rnacentral:rRNA from 1 species
AGCCAAAUUAAGGUGAAACCGCGAAAGGCUCAUUAAAUCAGUUAUGGUUCCUUAGAUCGUACCCACAUUUACUUGGAUAACUGUGGUAAUUCUAGAGCUAAUACAUGCAAACAGAGUUCCGACCGGAGACGGAAGGAGCGCUUUUAUUAGAUCAAAACCAAUCGGUGCUGCGGUAACGCUUGCGUUUUCCGUAUUAUCGUACAAAAACUUGGUGACUCUGAAUAACUUUUUGCUGAUCGCACGGUCUUGCACCGGCGACGCAUCUUUCAAAUGUCUGCCUUAUCAACUGUCGAUGGUAGGUUCUGCGCCUACCAUGGUUGUAACGGGUAACGGGGAAUCAGGGUUCGAUUCCGGAGAGGGAGCCUGAGAAACGGCUACCACAUCCAAGGAAGGCAGCAGGCGCGCAAAUUACCCACUCCCGGCACGGGGAGGUAGUGACGAAAAAUAACGAUACGGGACUCAUCCGAGGCCCCGUAAUCGGAAUGAGUACACUCUAAACUCUUCCCCAAAAAUCAAUUGGAGGGUAAGUCUGGUGCCAGCAGCCGCGGUAAUUCCAGCUCCAAUAGCGUAUAUUAAAGUUGUUGCGGUUAAAAAGCUCGUAGUCGAACCUGUGUCCUGCGCCGCUGGUUCAUCGCUCGCGGUGUUCAACUGGCGUGUUUCGCGGGACGUCCUGCCGGUG